rnacentral:rRNA from 1 species
ACCGCCUAAAGAUGCGCCUUGCGUCUGAUUAGCUUGUUGGUNAGGUAAAGGCUUACCAAGGCNACGAUCANUAGCUGGUCUGAUAGGAUGAUCAGCCACACUGUGGACUGAGACACGGCCCACACUCCUACGGGAGGCAGCAGUGAGGAAUUUUCCGCAAUGGGCGAAAGCCUGACGGAGCAAUGCCCCGUGAUAAAAUAAAGGNCCGUGGGUCGUAAACUCCUUUUCUCAGAGAAGAAUUUCUGACGGUAUCUGAGGAAUNAGCAUCGGCUAANUCUGUGCCAGCAGCCUCGGUAAUACAGAGGAUGCAAGCGUUAUCCGGAAUGAUUGGGCGUAAAGCGUU